rnacentral:rRNA from 1 species
GAUAAACGCUGGCGGCGCACAUAAGACAUGCAAGUCGAACGGACUUAACCGAAAGUUUACUUUGGAGCGGUUAGUGGCGGACUGGUGAGUAACACGUAAGCAACCUGCCUAUCAGAGGGGAACAACAGUCAGAAAUGACUGCUAAUACCGCAUAAGCGCACAGAGCUGCAUGGCUCGGUGUGAAAAACUCCGGUGGUAUAAGAUGGACCCGCGUUGGAUUAGCUGGUUGGUGAGGUAACGGCCCACCAAGGCGACGAUCCAUAGCCGGCCUGAGAGGGUGAACGGCCACAUUGGGACUGAGACACGGCCCAG